rnacentral:rRNA from 1 species
GACGAACGCUGGCGGCGUGCCUAAUACAUGCAAGUUGAGCGAUGAAGAUUGGUGCUUGCACCAAUUUGAAGAGCAGCGAACGGGUGAGUAACGCGUGGGGAAUCUGCCUUUGAGCGGGGGACAACAUUUGGAAACGAAUGCUAAUACCGCAUAACAACUUUAAACAUAAGUUUUAAGUUUGAAAGAUGCAAUUGCAUCACUCAAAGAUGAUCCCGCGUUGUAUUAGCUAGUUGGUGAGGUAAAGGCUCACCAAGGCGAUGAUACAUAGCCGACCUGAGAGGGUGAUCGGCCACAUUGGGAAUGAGACACGGCCCAAACUCCUACGGGAGGCAGCAGUAGGGAAUCUUCGGCAAUGGACGAAAGUCUGGCCGAGCAACGCCGCGUGAGUGAAGAAGGUUUUCGGAUCGUAAAACUCUGUUGGUAGAGAAGAACGUUGGUGAGAGUGGAAAGCUCAUCAAGUGACGGUAACUACCCAGAAAGGGACGGCUAACUACGUG